AGCUACUAUAUGAUAUUUAUAAUAAAUACAUAUACACACACAUAAACACCCCCCCAUAUAUAUAUAUAUAUAAAACAAAGAUGGAAAAAUGAAGAAAUCAGUAAGAAAAUCAAUAGGAAAAAGACAACCACAUAGAAAAAUAGGCAAAGAAUCUGCCCAUGCAAAUCACAGAAGAAAUCAUGUGGACUGUAAGAAACAUGCACACAUAUGCAACUUUACACAUUAUAUGGGAAAUGAGAGUGACACAGAUUUAAAAGUCUGAUACUACCCUGUCCCUCUGCUAGUGGGCACAGCUCAAGUCUCCUCACUGUGACCAGGCCCUUCAGGGAUACAACAGAGGCUGGGGGCCUUCAGAGAGAGAGUGCAGUGUUGUAAACAGAACCACUGAAAGGAUACUAAGUGCCUGGGAUACAGCAAGAGCCCCGUGGAUGUGCUCUCUCUUCCCUCUCGUAGCUACUAGAGAAUGGAUCUUAAUCAGCAGAGCCACUGCCCUCCUAGUCCAUCACAAGGCCCAUUGCCCCUGAAAGGCCCAACCGAGGCAACCACACCACUACCGAGGGAAUGAAGGAUUUUGAGUCAGAGAACCUGGAUUUACUGAGGACCUUUGGACAGAUUCUUCAACUGUGAGACUCCAUUUCCACUUCUGCGAAGAGAACUACUAAUGAACUCAAUGUGAUCUUGAAGAUGCCAAUAAGCUAGUGAAUGCAGCUUAAACUGUACAGAACCCCCACAAAGGUAAGUGGUUGCUAACAUCCCCAUGGCUAGUGGGGACAUGCCAAGUCUCUUCACUGUGACCAGUGGUUCACACACAGAAAUGUCAUCAUCCUUUCCAGCUCCUACUUGUAUGUAUUAUGAAGUUAUGACCCUGUGGAUGUUGAUGCCCACAAAAGCAACCAGUAAGAGAAAAUGCUGGAUCCUUUCUUUUCCUGCCAGUGUGUAACCUUCAUGGGGGUGGACAGGGUGCAUUUAAAAUAAUGGGCGGGUUGAUUCUUUCUGUGUGUCUAUUUCCAGAGUUCUAACGUAUAUUCUUUCUCCAGCAUUCUGCCUUCUAUUUUCUUCUCUCUAUACAGGCACUUUUAAUACCAAUCUAUUAAAAGCAGAUAUCUUAAGAUAUGGUUUACAAAAGCCUCUCUUGCAUCACCAGGCUGAGUUAAAAUUCUGAGCAUAGAGGCUUCUGAAGGAGAAACACAGGACAGGUAGCCAGGAGACUAAACUUUGGUAGAUGGUGUCAAGCCAACAACUCUCUGUGGGGCCUGAGGCAAAGCCACCUGACCUCUUUGGGGCUCCAUGUUCUCAUUCUGAGUUCUUAGAGGACACUAAAAUACCCAUAGAACAUGAAUUUACUAUAAACACAUGUUUGCUCUUUAUAUUUAAUACUUAUAUCUACGCAUUUAUAUUUCAACAGUGGGAUCUCUUCCAAUAUGUACAUUAUAAAACUCUGGUUCAGGGCUCAGCCAAGGAGCCCCGGGACUGCGCAGGGCUGCUCCUUAUGGGCGCACUGCCUUUAUCUCUAACAACCAUCUGUGGCUUCAGCUGUUACUGAAAGCAGCCACUUGCCCUUUGAUGUUUGAGGCCCAUUACUUUCCUUUUUGACUUAACCAACAGGUGUUCUCAGACUCUUUUUUUUAUAUGGGCUGUCUUCCCUCAGGGUUCCAGCAAACAGAUUUUCUUAAAAGAUUUCUAAGAGGCACAGGGAAGUAAAUGUCCCCUGGUCCACUGGUUCCCCCGCUGGAACUGCAGUCUGUCGUGACCACCCUGAAGUCUUGACCUUUCCCACUUCUUUGAAGAUGCAGGGACUCAUGGGCAAACCACAAGGACCAACCCUAAAUAGAGGUUUACAGAACAAAGGGUGUGUCUAUGCGUCACUGCUUGAAUGGAUCCCAGGAAAGCAGAAGACCUGGAGCAGAGAUGGCUGUGUCACAGGUCGGAGGAGUUCUUUACAGCCUAGCACUGCAUGUGGCCCAGAGUGCCAUGGCCAUAGAUGAAGCCUCAGGCUCUCUGAUACCCUGGGCCCUUGCUCAAGGCAGCAGAAAGCUUCUCUUGGUCUAACGGAAUUCAAAGAGACUCAGAGAGAUUGAGUGCAACAUGGCCCUAGAAAACCUCAAACUGCCAGACAACUGCAUCCCUCAUAGUCACUGCAGGACAAAGGAAAAUCUCCCAGAUGGGUGGGCAGCCUUCGCUUGGGGACGAUCAAGUCCUAAUGUCAGUCACCCAUUGCCGGAACUGCAGGAGGAAACACGUGGUGGGGCUGAACUGACCUUGCUUACCGAAGCACCCUGUCCACUGUGAACAUUCAGAAUGGGUGCGGGAUCUACAGCAGUCCAGUGAGACCUGAUCCUGAGACUCCUGCAGGAACCACGGGUAAAGAGAAGCUCUCCUUUCUCCAGGGUUGUUUGCUGAGAGGAUAUAAACCUGAAGCUGCUGGUGGCCACUUUACUACUACAUGGAGAAGGGGGACCUGAGAAUGGAACCAACUCUGAGGAAAGCAGAACCAGACGGAGACAGACUCCUGAAGACAAAGACUGAGGAAACCAGAUUUAACUCUGGACAAUUUACUUAGUGCACAUGGGAGAUGUACAACUCCACCCUCCAUGACUUGCUCUGUAACUUGCUUUCACUUGUGGAAAGGAACUGAGGUACUGGGUGUCACUUCCAGGCAGAGUUUUAAGAGCCUGUCUGUAAUCUGCUAUUUUUCCUUCUUCCGCCCCAGCGAUCGUGAGUGUGGCAGAUUGGGCCAGAUUCCUCAGGUCUGAACCUCAGGGACUGUGAGAAGCAGAGCCCCCUGCUGACUGGCGUUAGAAAUGCAGAGUGAGGGAGAUGGGGACUUUGUGUGAAGCCACUGAGUUUGGGGGAUUGUGUGUUACUGGAGUUACUCUACUAAUGUGAGGUAUACGAAAAUUACGGAAAACAUUAAGAGUUUGAGCCUGGAAUGGAAGACAACAUGCAAAAAUGAAAAUUACUGUUUGUUUUUCCAAAAGGGGUAGCUUUCAUUAUUAUAAAACAUAAAAAUUACUUCCCCCCUGCUUAUUAAAAUGUUUUAAAGGCAUGGAAAACUCAAGGAACAUGAAAGAAACAACUGGUUUUUUGUAAGAUUGUACUCUUGUAAAAAUUUGGAUUUAUAGCAGAAGGCUUUAUAAAAAAGCAGUGGGAAUAACUCAGCUAUUUUGCUGAAGGAUGCUAUUGUGUUUACAUUAACUGACAGUACCUAGGAGCUUCAAUAAAUGGAGUUUGUUGGGGGAGGGAGGCAUUUCUCUUAUUUUCCAGAAUCAAAUAGGAAAUUAUUUUCUCCUUCGAAUUCAUAGGAAAUUGUGGAUUCCUACCCCCUAGGUUUUUCUUUAAUUAGAAGUAUCAUCUCCAAACUCAGAUCUCUUUCACCCAGGGCUUCACCUCCCCUGAAAUAAUGAAAAAUAUGGUGGAGAGAAAGUGGGCAGCACAAACUAGACAUGCAAAGCUUGAUGAACUGUAAAGAAAGUAGGCCAGUGAAGUCAGAGUGCCAGCAGGCCACUGGCAUUGAGGGAGCUCCCAUUCCUAGGGACUGGGGUCACCUGUGACAUGUGACAAUCUGCCACUUUACUGAGGCAUGGAUUUGAAUGCCUUACACCGAUGACAGGUAUGGGAGUGCCACUCACAGUGAGCAAGGGAGGACAGCUGACUGCUCUGCUCCUACAGCUCGCCACGGUCACUGUUUGCUUACAUCGACAGGGACUACAGAGCUGAGAUUCCAGCAUCGACUCUGGGGACACGCAGUCUGAAUUUGAAUCCUUGUUCUGCCAAUCACUAGUGGGUUAUUUAACCUCUCUGUGCUUUAGUUUUUUCAUCUUGAAAACAGGAAUAAAAGCACCUAUGUCAAAGGUUGCUGGAGGAUUACAGGAGCCACGUAUGUGAAGCUCUCAGCCUGCAGCCUCAGACCCAGUGCCCACUGUGUCAGUCAUUACCGUACCACUAUGCUCACUCCUGCUGAAGUCACUGUCACUCCCUUGAAGUGGCAUUUUUUACUUCAAACACUCACCCCACAGGGGAGUUAACUCCUUAUACUGCUGCUGGAAGUGGAGAGAAGCAUAAAGACUUGUGCAUAACUGACAAUUCUUUGAAGAAAUUCAAGUAUUUUUGUACCAUAUUUAUAGCAUCAUUAAGAUUCUGAAGGGGCCACUUAUACUUGACAGCACCUUAUGGAAAAAUCAUGUGCCAUUAUAGCAUUUUUAUGAACCUGAACAUUAGCUAAGGACUGAGGACAUAGUUCCUAAGAAUACUAAGGGCCUACCAUAUUCUACCUUGAGGUAGAAAGCUCACAUUCCUUUCCCCUUCACAAGGUUGAGGGGAGACCUUUGUGGGAAGAGUGACCAUAGUAUUAUCAGAGGACAACUACAGCAGCAGGGGGUGUCCUUGCAUCUCCUGAGAUCAAGGGGUCACACCACUGGCCAGAAGAAAGAU